rnacentral:tRNA from 7 species
AGGGUUGCUAGCUCAAUGGUAGAGUGUUCGGCUUUUAACCGAUUUGUUCUGGGUUCAAAUCCCAGGUAACCC